AUGCCAGGAGUGCUACCAAACAACUCUUCUCGAGUACUCAAAGUGUUUCGAGGGGAGCUCGUCAAGAAGUGCAGAGGCUCAAGGCCUCUGUGUCUCAACUGCAGGCAGCCCUGCAGGAGCUGCAGAGUAGCGGGUUGCACUCGGAAGACGCCGGGAUCGGGGCUGCGGAAGCCAGGAAGGCCGACCUCAUGGCUAAGAAGGCCAAGCUGGAUGAGACCCUAG
rnacentral:rRNA from 1 species